UACAGAGGGUGCGAGCGUUGUCCGGAAUCACUGGGCGUAAAGGGCGCGUAGGCGGCUUGAUAAGGUUGCGGUGAAAGCCCGGGGCUCAACCCCGGGUCGGCCGUGGCAACUGUCGAGCUGGAGCACUGUAGAGGCAGGUGGAAUUCCGGGUGUAGCGGUGGAAUGCGUAGAGAUCCGGAAGAACACCGGUGGCGAAGGCGGCCUGCUGGGCAGUGGCUGACGCUGAGGCACGAAAGCGUGGGUAGCAAACAGG
rnacentral:rRNA from 1 species